GGCGCAAGCCUGAUGGAGCAACACCGCGUGAGUGAAGAAGGGUUUCGGCUCGUAAAACUCUGUUGUUGGGGAAGAACGUGCGUAAGAGUAACUGUUUACGCAGUGACGGUAUCCAACCAGAAAGUCACGGCUAACUACGUGCCAGCAGCCGCGGUAAUACGUAGGUGGCAAGCGUUAUCCGGAUUUAUUGGGCGUAAAGCGAGCGCAGGCGGUUGCUUAGGUCUGAUGUGAAAGCCUUCGGCUUAACCGAAGAAGUGCAUCGGAAACCGGGCGACUUGAGUGCAGAAGAGGACAGUGGAACUCCAUGUGUAGCGGUGGAAUGCGUAGAUAUAUGGAAGAACACCAGUGGCGAAGGCGGCUGUCUGGUCUGCAACUGACGCUGAGGCUCGAAAGCAUGGGUAGCGAACAGGAUUAGAUACCCUGGUAGUCCAUGCCGUAAACGAUGAGUGCUAGGUGUUGGAGGGUUUCCGCCCUUCAGUGCCGAAGCUAACGCAUUAAGCACUCCGCCUGGGGAGUACGACCGCAAGGUUGAAACUCAAAGGAAUUGACGGGGGCCCGCACAAGCGGUGGAGCAUGUGGUUUAAUUCGAAGCUACGCGAAGAACCUUACCAGGUCUUGACAUCUUGCGCCAACCUCAGAGAUGAGGCGUUCCCUUCGGGGACGCAAAGACAGGUGGUGCAUGGUCGUCGUCAGCUCGUGUCGUGAGAUGUUGGGUU
rnacentral:rRNA from 2 species